GACGAACGCUGGCGGCGUGCUUAACACAUGCAAGUCGAACGGUAAGGCCCUUCGGGGUACACGAGUGGCGAACGGGUGAGUAUCACGUGGGUGAUCUGCCCUGCACUUCGGGAUAAGCCUGGGAAACUGGGUCUAAUACCGGAUAGGACCACUGCCUGCAUGGGUGGUGGUGGAAAGCUUUUGCGGUGUGGGAUGGGCCCGCGGCCUAUCAGCUUGUUGGUGGGGUGAUGGCCUACCAAGGCGACGACGGGUAGCCGGCCUGAGAGGGUGACCGGCCACACUGGGACUGAGAUACGGCCCAGACUCCUACGGGAGGCAGCAGUGGGGAAUAUUGCACAAUGGGCGCAAGCCUGAUGCAGCGACGCCGCGUGAGGGAUGACGGCCUUCGGGUUGUAAACCUCUUUCAGCACCGACGAAGCGCAAGUGACGGUAGGUGCGGAAGAGGGACCGGCCAACUACGUGCCAGCAGCCGCAGUAA
rnacentral:rRNA from 1 species